GACGAACGCUGGCGGCGUGCUUAACACAUGCAAGUCGAACGGAAAGGCCCCUUUGGGGGUACUCGAGUGGCGAACGGGUGAGUAACACGUGAGUAACCUGCCCUUGACUUCGGGAUAACUUCAGGAAACUGGGGCUAAUACCGGAUAGGAAUCCUUGCUGCAUGGUGGGGGUUGGAAAGCUUCGGCGGUUUUGGAUGGACUCGCGGCUUAUCAGCUUGUUGGUGGGGUAGUGGCUUACCAAGGCUUUGACGGGUAGCCGGCCUGAGAGGGCGACCGGCCACAUUGGGACUGAGAUACGGCCCAGACCCCUACGGGAGGCAGCAGUGGGGAAUAUUGCACAAUGGGCGGAAGCCUGAUGCAGCAACGCCGCGUGCGGGAUGACGGCCUUCGGGUUGUAAACCGCUUUCAGCAGGGGCGAAGCUUGUGGUGACGGUACCUGCAGAAGAAGCACCGGCUAACUACGUG
rnacentral:rRNA from 1 species